rnacentral:tRNA from 1 species
ACAUUGAUGGUUCAGUGGUAGAAUUCUCACCUUCCAUAUGGGAGAUCCAGGUUCAAUUCCUGGUCAGUGCA